rnacentral:rRNA from 1 species
GACGAACGCUGGCGGCGUGCCUAACACAUGCAAGUCGAACGAAGCACUUACGACGGAGACUUCGGUUGAAGUAGUAUUUGACUUAGUGGCGGACGGGUGAGUAAUGCGUGAGCAACCUGCCUUUCAGAGGGGGGACAACAGUUGGAAACGACUGCUAAUACCGCAUAAUGUGUCGAGGGGGCAUCCCCAUGACACCAAAGAUUUUAUCGCUGAGAGAUGGGCUCACGUCUGAUUAGUUAGUUGGUGAGGUAACGGCUCACCAAGACUGCGAUCAGUAGCCGGACUGAGAGGUUGAACGGCCACAUUGGGACUGAGAUACGGCCCAGACUCCUACGGGAGGCAGCAGUGGGGAAUAUUGGGCAAUGGGGGCAACCCUGACCCAGCAACGCCGCGUGAAGGAAGAAGGCCUCGGUUGUAAAC